GGGGCUGAUUCUGGAUUCGACGGGAUUUGCGAAACCCAAGGUGCAUGCCGAGGGGCGGUUGGCCUCGUAAAAAGCCGCAAAAAAAUAGUCGCAAACGACGAAAACUACGCUUUAGCAGCUUAAUAACCUGCUUAGAGCCCUCUCUCCCUAGCCUCCGCUCUUAGGACGGGGAUCAAGAGAGGUCAAACCCAAAAGAGAUCGCGUGGAUGCUCUGCCUGGGGUUGAAGCGUUAAAACGAAUCAGGCUAGUCUGGUAGUGGCGUGUCCGUCCGCAGGUGCCAGGCGAAUGUAAAGACUGACUAAGCAUGUAGUACCGAGGAUGUAGGAAUUUCGGACGCGGGUUCAACUCCCGCCAGCUCCACCA
rnacentral:tmRNA from 4 species